rnacentral:rRNA from 1 species
GACGUAGGGUGCAAGCGUUGUCCGGAUUUAUUGGGCGUAAAGAGCUCGUAGGCGGUUUGGCAAGUCGGGUGUGAAAUCUCCGGGCUUAACUCGGAACGGCCAAGUGAAACUGUCAAGCUAGAGUGCAGAAGGGGCAAUCGGAAUUCUUGGUGUAGCGGUGAAAUGCGUAGAUAUCAAGAGGAACACCUGAGGUGAAGACGGGUUGCUGGGCUGACACUGACGCUGAGGCGCGAAAGCCAGGGGAGCAAACGGG